AUAUUUUUAGUAUAAAUAGUACCUAAAGCUUCCAACUUUAAAGUUUCUUAGAAAAAAUAUA
rnacentral:tRNA from 1 species